rnacentral:rRNA from 1 species
UACGUAGGGUGCGAGCGUUAAUCGGAAUUACUGGGCGUAAAGCGUGCGCAGGCGGUUCGCUGUGUCCGAUGUGAAAGCCCCGGGCUUAACCUGGGAAUGGCAUUGGAAACUGGCGGGCUUGAGUGCGGCAGAGGGGGGUGGAAUUCCGCGGUGUAGCAGUGAAAUGCGUAGAGAUGCGGAGGAACACCGAUGGCGAAGGGCAGCCCCCUGGGUCGACACUGACGCCUCAGGCACGAAAGCGUGGGGAGCAACAGG